GACGUAGGGCGCGAGCGUUGUCCGGAAUCAUUGGGCGUAAAGCGCGUGUAGGCGGCCCGGUAAGUCCGCUGUGAAAGUCCAGGGCUCAACCCUGGGAUGCCGGUGGAUACUGUCGGGCUCGAGUCCGGAAGAGGCGAGUGGAAUUCCUGGUGUAGCGGUGAAAUGCGCAGAUAUCAGGAAGAACACCCGUGGCGAAGGCGGCUCUCUGGGACGGUACUGACGCUGAGACGCGAAAGCGUGGGGAGCGAACAGG
rnacentral:rRNA from 1 species